rnacentral:lncRNA from 1 species
UCAGGCACAUAUAUAUUUAUAUCUAUCGCGCCAAAGAGAAAAGAGUCCUAGAGAAUGCUGUCUAUCAUGAACAAUCUCUCCACAAGAGGGAAAAGGAAAGCAUGGCAGGCAAAACAUCCUCCAGAAACUCGAAAGAGAGGAGGGCAAGAAAGAUGCCCUCCAUUUAUGUGGCGCACCCAAGAAAAAACGCAAACGUAUCAAAAGUUCCCGGUGUAGAUCAUGCGUUGGAUGGCCGCCAUUGCGAAGUCAAUGGGAGGAAGCUGAAGACGAAGAAGAAGAAGAAGAAGAAGAAGGGGAGAAUCUACGGGAGAGAAGCAUCUCCUGAC